ACAAAGCUAUUUAAAUAUUUCUGGAGAUAGAAUAACAGCCAUAUGAGUUACAAACAAAACUUACAUAUGAAAUAUAUUUAUAAGUUGAAAACUGCAUGUACACAAUAUUUAAGCCAAAUUUUUAAAAUAUCUGAUCAAAAUUCUGAUAAUAUUUGCAACUGAAAAAUUUAUUAUUAUUGUAAAUUCUGUAUUAUUUAAACAGUGAUUAGAUAUUCUGUAAAUUCAUAUGCAAAAAUAAUAUAAAUAGUCAUUAGAAAAACUUUGUGAGGACUGUGGUGGUGUCCAUUUUGUCAGAAUGGCCAUAAAAUUUGAUGGCGCGUGGAUACGUGACACUGAGGUCUGGGAUCAGAAAUUGACUCACAAACUUAUUUAAAUGAUAACUAAUGUUUAUUUAACAGAAGAAUAUAACAAAAAAAGUUAUUUAAAACUAAAUCUAUUAUGAUACAUUGUUGAGAGAGUGUAUGAGAGUUCCACAGGCCUUUCACAUACUUGAGAGAGAGUUUGCCAAUACUAAAUCUAUUUGGCAAUUAUUUGUACACUAAUAUUAAAUGUCCCUCUUGUUCACAAAUGUCCUUUGUAAAGUUCAACAUAUUCAUUGCUAAUGUUCACCAUCAUCAUCGUCUGUUCUAUUUGUCAGCUUUGCUGUCAUCAUCCAUCAUCUCUGUUAUUGUCUGUCGUCUCUGUUGGGCUUGCUGCCCCGACGGGAUGAGUUGUUUGCGCAUCGUUGCAUAUUUUCGUUAUUUUUCUUGGACACUAGCACUUCUUCUUCUUUGACUGCUGACUACCCUCUCUUGACUCUGCUGGCUGACUAAUCUUCUCGUAUUUACUUGAUGUCUUCAAAAGGAACUUUCCCGUGGUAUUUCUAGAUGGAAUUAACUUGUAGUUCCUUGUCAGUUAUGAUGACUAAUUAUUAUCUACUUUUUAAUCUUUAAUAUAUUAAUCUAUGUAAUUUAUUA
rnacentral:lncRNA from 1 species